AUCUUAAUGAAGUUUUCUUUUUAAUCCGUUGAUAUUUGUCCUUUAUAACCAUAUUAAUUGCGCAAAAAAAAAAGUAAAAAACGGGUCAUUAAAGGCUCAACUAUAAAAAUCCAACAUCCUAGAAAAUUUGACCAACUUAGUUUAUAUUAUUUGAGAUGCACACCUAAUUUCGUUGUGCUUAUGUCUAACCCGAUUGAUUAACAACAUCCAUGAUUGACAUAUAUAUUGUGAUGCUUAACCCAUUU
rnacentral:lncRNA from 1 species